rnacentral:rRNA from 1 species
AUUGAACGCUGGCGGCAGGCCUAACACAUGCAAGUCGAGCGGAGCGGCGGACGGGUGAGAAAUGCCUAGGAAUCUGCCUGGUCGUGGGGGAUAACGUCCGGAAACGGGCGCUAAUACGGCAUACUAUCAGAUGAGCCUCGGUCGGCUUAGCUAGUGGGUGGGGUAAAGGCCUACCCAGGCGGCGAUCCGUAACUGGUCUGAGAGGAUGAUCCGUCACACUGGAACUGAGACACGGUCCAGACUCCUACGGGAGGCAGCAGUGGGGAAUAGUGGACAGUGGGCGAAAGCCUGAUCCAGCCAUGCCGCGUGUGUGAAGAAGGUCUUCGGAUUGUAAAGCACUUUAAGUUGGGAGGCGGUACCAGCAGAAGAAGCACCGGCUAACUUCGUGCCAGCAGCCGCGGUAAUAC